GCGGAUGUGCCACGAAGGGCCGC
rnacentral:tRNA from 1 species